UACGUAGGUGGCGAGCGUUGUCCGGAUUUAUUGGGCGUAAAGAGCGCGGAGGUGGUGCCUUAAGUUGGGCGUGAAAUCCCCUGGCUUAACUGGGGGAGGUCGUCCAAUACUGAGGUGCUUGAGGGUGGACGGGGAGAGCGGAAUUCCCGGUGUAGUGGUGAAAUGCGUAGAUAUCGGGAGGAACACCAGUGGCGAAGGCGGCUCUCUAGACCAUUCCUGACACUCAAGCGCGAAAGCGUGGGUAGCGAACGGA
rnacentral:rRNA from 1 species